GCGGCUGCUUCCUUUCAGCUUAGCUCAAGUGAUGACGGCUGGAGAGCAGGGAACUCGACUGAAAGAGUACUGGUUCUUUAUCGCUUCACGCCAUCGAGCGCGAUCUGCUGAAAGCUAGAGGUAUGUUUAUUUCUGUGGGAUAGUGGGAGGGGCUACCAUUGUUUGCAGCGGCACUAGUUUUCUUUUAACCUCAGCGUAUUAUCCUUUUUGGCUCACAGCUAAUGGAUUGCUCGAUAAAUGGGAUGUUCGAGGUGAGGUGAAUUGGAUGCGGGAUCUACUGUCGGGUCCGCCGCUUCCUCACGGUAAAUCCAUUACUUCAACGAUCUGCCGGUGGCAUCAUGCCGCGGAGUCCAGACUCAUGUGAAAACGCGCAUGGCUGGAUGAAGUCGCUGGCGGAGGAGAGCUGAUGGUACGACAAGAGAUGCUCGAUAGCAGGUGUUUGUGAGAUCCUGCUUUUUUUUUUUUGGGAGCGGACGCCCGACGGUGCCGCCUGUUUCUCUCUGUAUGGGACUGUCAAAAUGCUUUGCAGUAAAGUAUGCUUAUAGCGGUCUGGCGUGGUUUCCCACAGCAACGGUAGCUGUGAGCUUCGAUUUCAGCUUUUAGUAGCGCCUUUUCUUUCAUCUUCUUUGUAGAGAGGCUUGGGUUAAUGCUGGUAGGGAGGGUCUCAUGUCUUUCUAGCUGUCGAAUCAAACGGGGAGAGAUGUGUAUUUAUUCACACAAGUCGAAGAAACAAGCAUGAAUGAAGAGUCUCGCGGCUAUUACUAGAAUGGUUGGUCCCAGUGUUCAAGCUCUGUUCAUCGUCGACCCCACGGGGUAACGCUUGAGUGCAUGUUUUUGAAGAAUUGGAAAGACAUUUUGUCUGUAGCAAUGAGUGUCGCAUAGCACCUCUUUCGAGAUGGCUUUUACUUUGCAUCUGUAGCUUCUUACAAGCUGUUUAGCUCCGACAGUGACGAGUUGAUUUGCUUAGAGGCUGGAGCUCGAAUCGGUAUCAGUGGUGAGGGGUAAGAGUAGCAGGCGAGUAGCGUCUUAUCGCCACCUUUGUACAGGAAACAGAACAAGG
rnacentral:misc_RNA from 1 species